UUUUUCCUGUAUUCCAAUUUUGGAUCUUUCAGUCACAGUGAAAACCGGGGACAGGUCACUGAAAACGGGGCUGCCUGGCCACCCUACGUCGUACUUUAGUUAUUUGAUGUUUAAUUUUCUGUGAUGUCGGUCGUUUUUAUCUACUAUGGGUAUAUUAUUACUCUGAAGCCAGCUCAAUCAGUUUAUGUCCUUCGGCUUUAGGACGCAGUCCAACGGAAGCUGUUUCGGUAGAGCGGCAAUAGAUGACUCUGCAGUCCCCGUGUUGGAUCAACUUGGAUGACGUCACUGACUAACCACACCAGUGCCCACAGAAGAAGUUAGUGUACUUAACAGUAAUGUGCGUAUCAAGUCGUCGCGAAGCUCAUUCCCCACAAUAGUGCUUUUUUUAUGACAUGUGGCAGAAAAACUCCAGUUGACCGGGGAAACAGAGCCCCGUCAGGAGUGCUAAACGACUCUGGAAACGGAAGGCAUUUCCUGCAAAGGAUCUUCCCUGACGCUCGGAGGAGGCCAAGGAUCCGAAGGAUUCCACCAAAGCACAGUGGGCCAGAAUGGGACCUAAAGGGACAAAAAUACUUUCAGUGCAAAAACUAGCUUUAUUUGGGAUUAACAUUAUUCUAAACCAUUAUAAAAUGAAAAAAAAAAUAUCAAAUCAGUACAAAUCGGUGAUUUUGAGCGCACAUAUUCUGUAAUUUGGUAAUUCUGUAAAUCUUAUUUUCUUGGGAAAUAAGGGAAAUCGUGGAAACUAAAGCAAUAAUAUCUUAAUUGUAAUACAUUUUGUACAAUAGCCAAUAAAGAACAUAAAAUACAAAAAAAAA